UACGGGGGGAGCAAACGUUGUUCGGAAUUACUGGGCGUAAAGCGCGUGUAGGCGGCUCUGCAAGUCGGAUGUGAAAUCCCACGGCUCAACCAUGGAAGUGCAUUCGAAACUGCAGGGCUAGAGUCCUGGAGAGGAAGGUGGAAUGCUUGGUGUAGAGGUGAAAUUCGUAGAUAUCAAGCGGAACACCGGUGGCGAAGGCGACCUUCUGGACAGUGACUGACGCUGAGACGCGAAAGCGUGGGGAGCAAACAGG
rnacentral:rRNA from 1 species